CAGCGAAUUGGGGGGUGGGUAGGGCGGCUCAAGGCUCGCGCACGCGCACGCGCACCACCGCCUACCUGCGCCUGGGCUGCCGGUGACCUGGGCCGGGUCCUCCCGGUCGGCUAAGGUUGCUGAGGAGGCGGCGGGUAGCUGGCAGGCGCCGACUUCCGAAGGCCGCCGUCCGGGCGAGGGUCUCACUUUGUUACCCAGGCUGGAGUGUGGUGAUGCAGUCACAGCUCACGCAGCCUUGAUCUCCUGAGCUCAAGUGAUCCUCCCACUUCAGACUCCCAAGUAGCUGGGACCACAGGUGUCCUCAUGACUUCUCUUGUGGACCAUGUCCAUGAUCUUUUUUGCCUGCGUGGUACGGGUAAGGGAUGGACUGCCCCUCUCGGCCUCUACUGAUUUUUACCACACCCAAGAUUUUUUGGAAUGGAGGAGACGGCUCAAGAGUUUAGCCUUGCGACUGGCCCAGUAUCCAGGUCGAGGUUCUGCAGAAGGCUGUGACUUUAGUAUACAAUGUGGAGAAGUCUGAAGCUAACUCCCCCAAUAGAAUAUGCAUCCCUCAUGCAU
rnacentral:sRNA from 1 species